GUGUAGCUCAGUGGGAGAGUGCUUGCCUAGCAUGUGCAAGGCCCUAGGUUUAAUCCCCAGCAAACA
rnacentral:tRNA from 1 species